rnacentral:lncRNA from 1 species
UGACUUUGGGGGUCUCGGAGUAACUGUAUUGAAACUCGAAUGGAGCACCGGGGAGAUGAUAGGAGACACCGGAAUCGCCGAUGACGACAGCGCGUUCGCCGUUGGAUGAGAUGACGCCAUCUUUGACGGGCUUGUAGUACUUGGAACGGUGGUGGAAAGUCUUAAGAGCAGGAUUAGGUGGUUUUGGAGGGUUGUUGGUUCGAAGGGUGCGGGAUUUGGGAGGAGGGUAUUUGGGAAUUGGAAUUGGGGUUGAAGGAGAAGAAGUGGGUGUCGGUUCGUGAGGCGGUGGAGCUGAAGGGAGUGAAGAGAAUAGGGUUAAGCCUGGC